AAACCGCCAAGGGCCACAGCACUGGCAUUCUCAUGGACCACGCUACCACAAACACAGAAAAAAGCAGCACCCACACACACAACCACUGCAACCACAGAUGAGACUGAGAAACUAGCAAUACCACAGGCAUGAUCACCAUUUCGACACGCAAAACCACCCUCUCCAGGGGUACAACAGCCCUCAGUAUGGGCAAAACCACCAUUUCUAGGGGCAAGACUACGAUCACGGUGCACAAAAACUGUUUCACUCGGGGCAAAAAUUCUGUAGCACUGGACAAUAUCACCAUUGCAAGAGGGCAGAAGGACAUCUUUAUUGAGAAGGUUACCAUCACUAGGGGCAAAGAAACUCAAUACCAUCUGUACUGGGAAUACAAUUUGUGAUCAUCUACCAGUAGGCCUGAAAGGUUUGGAUCCUUUACUAUGAUCACAGAGGAAUGUACCAAGCAACAGGUCGUAUGGAAUCUGUCCCUAGCGUUUGAUUGGCUGCCUUUCAGUGUUCAACCAAUGCACCUGCAGAGGUGAAGAAGAUGAGCCCACUGCCCCUCUGAAGGACGUCUCUGCCCUGGUCCCCCGACUGGUUCUGAUGUUUACUUUCAUGCCUGUAAUGAUUGCAAAGCAUCCGCCCCUUCUGCGGUUCCCAGAAUUGUAUGAUAAAUAUUUGUUUCUAUGUAACCAAGCAAACUAUUACCUUGUCAUGUUGAUCUUCUACUAGAAUCUGUAGGCCCUAUAGGGGGUAUAUGUUGUAUUUUGAGAUUUGCAAAGGUAGAGGGUCCAGGUUUGCAUAAGCGGGAGUAACAACAUUAAUCAUAAUUAGCACUAGCUAAUUGGACUUAUUAACCUUCAGCUCAAAGCUUCUAAUCACAUUUCAUGCCUUCAGUGUAUAAAUGAGAAAAAAACAUCAGAUUUUGGGCUCUAAGAAACAUUUGUAUUUUGGAUUUACCCUGAAUGCAUUAAAGGUUUUCAUUUGACCCUGGUCUCAGCUGCCUAAUUUUCCCUCAGAAAGCCUUGCUAUAGGCAGGUUAGCUUGCCCGACAAAGAAGGGCUAUUGUUCCACUGUAGUCCUAAAUUUGCAUUUCUUGAAAAAAAAUAUCACAGCUGGGUAAGUGUUGUGGUUAACCAAAUCAUUUCAUCACUUAACCAAAUACUUUAUCAGCCCACUGUGUGCAAUGAAUAUUAGUGAAUUCUCACCCCCCCCCCCCCCCCCCAUGAAAACGAUAAAGAUUCCACUAGAGGUGGGUGAGGAUGGGGCUGGGUGUGGGGUGGAUUUUGGCAGCCCAGAUACACGGGUGGGUGGGAAAAAAUGCAGAGUGGGGAAUUGUGAAGCUUUGUUGUGUCAAGGGAGUGAAGCCGGCCCCAAGCACUCACUGGUCUGUGGAAUCAAGUGAAGGGCUUCUGUAGAGCAAGUUUAGAGGAGGACUAUAAUACAGUGCCCCAUAGUUUCACUCUUUCGGUUGGAGACCUUGUGUGAGGACUCCUCUGUGUUGCCGAGUGUCAGGCAGUGACUGGUAUCCAGAACUUUGAGUGGAGCUUUUCAACAGUGUACAGAGGAAAACCAACUUGAGAGAAGGACCUAUGCCAGAACUUCCAUUGGAUGGAUCUCUCGGGAAUGCCUGAAAUGAGAAACAAGGCACACAUUCUUUUCCAUUUUAGCAGUAUUCCUCUUAAUGGCUGGAGAAAGAGAGAAGCGGAUAAGAUUCAUUAAGGAGCGGUUAAGGUAUAGAAAGAACACAGAAUGGAGCUGCUUAUGGAAGAGGGUCUGAACUGAGGAGGGCUAAGGGCAAUACUGCAAAACAAGAGCCAUGCCACUGAUCACAACGAACAGAAAGCUAUUGAUUCAGUUAGUGCCAAGGGUGGUUGAAGGUGGGUACCAGUUUGCUCCAAGAUGGCAGCAAAAUUGACAGAAUGACCUGAAAAGAGAAGGGCAGGUGAAAAUGGGUCAGGGUAUGUUGUGGAGUGCUCUGGAGGGGUUGAGCUGUGAAUUGAAGUAUGUUGUGGAGUGCUCUGGAGGGGUUGAGCGGUGGAUGUAAAUAUGUGGUGGAAGGUUUUGGAUUGGAUGGGCUGCAAAUUAAAGUAUGUUGUGGAAUGUUCUGGACUGGUUUGGCCAUAGGAGGGCUAAAGGGAGAUGCUGGUAGGUGGGAGGUGGAGGUGGACAUCUCUGCAGAUGGAGGAGUUUGUGGACUUGCUGCUCUCAUUCCUAUCCCCACUUCUUCUUCAGAGCUGUAAACAUACAUUAAAUGAUGGCGGACACGUAUAUUUAACAAGUUUUGGAAGGUGACAGGGGUAGACUUAACCCAGAACAAUGAACCAUAAAGAGAGUGUAACUUAUCAUUUCAGGGAUUUAAUAGUUGAGGCAGUUUGUCCAAAUUAGGAAACAAGAGUAUAAAGGAGCAAGAUUGUUCCACAAAAACUGAAAGGCAAAAGUGAUGCAAAAAGCAAAAAAUAAAAAUAAAAAAAGCCAGAAUGUGGAUCAAGGAUUUUUCACUUACAGGGAACUUUGCGCUCUGUCCCAGUUUUCAGACUUUUGGUAUCUGAGCAUGUGCAGAAGGUGGGAGGGAAACGGAUGUGGUGAAGCCGAUAAGUAUUUAAAGCAGCCAAUUGUAAAAGGGCGACUAGCCUGAAUGUGAAUACAAGCCCAGGAAACAGAUGUCGAUACCUGCCGGGCAUACGAAUGAUUAGGUGCAGGUGGCAGAGCCCCACCCUUUGAACGCAGCAUGCUAGUUCUGGAGGAAGAGGGGUCCCACUCAGCCAGAUGCGUGCCUCAAGGGCAUGGGUACAUGGUCAUACUGAAGGAAGCCUGGCAACACAGGUUGGGGUUGAUGAACCUGAAGUGAAGUUGAAGUGCACCUGCCAAUCACGGUGUCCCUUAGCCAUGAUAAUGCGCGGUGUUUCUGCCUUGCCACGCCACCCUGGGUGCAGGGCGUGUGCACCUACGCCGACAGGUGCUGAAGGUCAAGCAGCUAUACCCCCUGCUCAUCCUAAACGGGCUAGCAGUGAGGAUGGGGUAGUGACGGCAUACACUCCCCACCUUUCCGCCCAGUGUCCCACUCGGACGUACUCCCAGUGCCAUUGGUCAGAUCUGUUGGAGUAGAUGAUUGGUGGGCUAUCCUCGGGCUCCGGCUCUAGGACUGGUUCUUAGGUUGACUGGGAAUGACCAGGAACAAGGUCAAAUAUCAACUUCUGUCUAACCAUGCACACCGUUAGCUUGUUGGGUUGGUCCUCUAAUGCAUGGGUCACCAACCCUGUUCCUGGAGAUCUACAGCCCUACAAAGAGCACCUCAUUCAACAGCUUCAGAUCUCAUCGAGCUGCUAAUUAUUAGAAUCAGGAGUGCCAAAUUAAGGUUGAAGUGAAAACUUUCAGGACGGUAGAUCUCCAGGAACGGGGUUGGUGGCCCCUGCUCUAAUGGAACCUUUCGGUGGGAAGGAGGCUCUGGACACUUGUGAAGGGGGCAGACCCAGAGUAACUCAAGCAGGUAGAGGAGCGAAUCUCACUUGGAGCUGGUACUAACCCCAAUUAACUGCAGUAGCGGAUUCCUCCCCCUUCAGCUUGCCAUUUCUAACAGUUCUGCUUGCCCUGACGAUGUACAAACAGUGGCUUCUGCUCAGGGAGGGGAACCCAAAUGUUUAGAGUCUGGAAAUGGUGCUUUGUAUGUUGGAUUUCCUGACUGUAUUAAAGUUUGGAUUUCA